UGGCGGACGGGUGAGUAAUGUCUGGGAAACUGCCUGAUGGAGGGGGAUAACUACUGGAAACGGUAGCUAAUACCGCAUAACGUCGCAAGACCAAAGAGGGGACCUUCGGGCCUCUUGCCAUCAGAUGUGCCCAGAUGGGAUUAGCUAGUAGGUGGGGUAACGGCUCACCUAGGCGACGAUCCCUAGCUGGUCUGAGAGGAUGACCAGCCACACUGGAACUGAGACACGGUCCAG
rnacentral:rRNA from 1 species